rnacentral:rRNA from 1 species
AGAGGUGGCAAGCGUUGUUCGGAAUUACUGGGCGUAAAGGGCGCGUAGGCGGCCUUCUAAGUCAGACGUGAAAUCCCCAGGCUUAACUUGGGAACUGCGUCUGAUACUGGAGGGCUCGAGUGCGGGAGAGGGAUGUGGAAUUCCAGGUGUAGCGGUGAAAUGCGUAGAUAUCUGGAGGAACACCGGUGGCGAAGGCGGCAUCCUGGACCGACACUGACGCUGAGGCGCGAAAGCUAGGGGAGCAAACGGGAUUAGAUACCCCGGUAGUCCUAGCCCUAAACGAUGAGUGCUUGGUGUGGCGGGUAUCGAUCCCUGCCGUGCCGAAGCUAACGCAUUAAGCACUCCGCCUGGGGAGUACGGUCGCAAGGCUGAA